UACGAAGGGGACUAGCGUUGUUCGGAAUCACUGGGCGUAAAGCGCACGUAGGCGGAUGUGUCAGUCAGGGGUGAAAUCCCGGGGCUCAACCUCGGAACUGCCUUUGAUACAGCACGUCUCGAGUCCGGAAGAGGUGGGUGGAAUUCCUAGUGUAGAGGUGAAAUUCGUAGAUAUCGGGAGGAACACCAGUGGCGAAGGCGGCGACCUGGGCAGAUACUGACACUGAGGUGCGAAAGCGUGGGGAGCAAACAGG
rnacentral:rRNA from 1 species